UUCCAGUGUCCAACCAACUGUCCAGCAGGUGUGAAAGGUCCUCAAGGUCUUCAGGGAGUGAAGAGGCAUCCCGGAAAACGGGGUAUUCUGGGUGAUCCUGGCCAUCAGGGAAAGCCGGGCCCCAAGGGAGAUGUGGGUGCCUCUGGAGAACAAGGCAUCCCUGGACCAC